rnacentral:rRNA from 2 species
CUGGUUGAUCCUGCCAGUAGUCAUAUGCUUGUCUCAAAGAUUAAGCCAUGCAUGUCUAAGUAUAAACUGCUUUAUACUGUGAAACUGCGAAUGGCUCAUUAAAUCAGUUAUAGUUUAUUUGAUGGUACUUACUUACUCGGAUACCCGUAGUAAUUCUAGAGCUAAUACGUGCGUACAUCCCGACUUCUGGAAGGGACGUAUUUAUUAGAUAAAAGGCCGACCGGGCUUGCCCGACUCGCGGUGACUCAUGAUAACUUCACGAAUCGCAUGGCCUUGCGCCGGCGAUGUUUCAUUCAAAUUUCUGCCCUAUCAACUUUUGAUGGUAGGAUAGAGGCCUACCAUGGUGGUAACGGGUGACGGAGAAUUAGGGUUCGAUUCCGGAGAGGGAGCCUGAGAAACGGCUACCACAUCCAAGGAAGGCAGCAGGCGCGCAAAUUACCCAAUCCUGAUACAGGGAGGUAGUGACAAUAAAUAACAAUACCGGGCCUUUGGUCUGGUAAUUGGAAUGAGUACAACCUAAACACCUUAACGAGGAUCAAUUGGAGGGCAAGUCUGGU